AGUGAACGCUGGCGGUAGGCCUAACACAUGCAAGUCGAACGGCAGCACAGUAAGAGCUUGCUCUUACGGGUGGCGAGUGGCGGACGGGUGAGGAAUACAUCGGAAUCUACUUUUUCGUGGGGGGUAACGUAGGGAAACUUACGCUAAUACCGCAUACGACCUACGGGUGAAAGCAGGGGAUCUUCGGGCCUUGCGCGAUUGAAUGAGCCGAUGUCGGAUUAGCUAGUUGGCGGGGUAAAGGCCCACCAAGGCGACGAUCCGUAGCUGGUCUGAGAGGAUGAUCAGCCACACUGGAACUGAGACACGGUCCAGACUCCUACGGGAGGCAGCAGUGGGGAAUAUUGGACAAUGGGCGCAAGCCUGAUCCAGCCAUACCGCGUGGGUGAAGAAGGCCUUCGGGUUGUAAAGCCCUUUUGUUGGGAAAGAAAAGCAGCAGGUUAAUACCCCGCCGUUCUGACGGUACCCAAAGAAUAAGCACCGGCUAACUUCGUG
rnacentral:rRNA from 1 species